rnacentral:misc_RNA from 1 species
UAAUGAGAAAUAUGAAAUUGAUGGUAAUUUUCAGAAACAUCUAUGUGAACUGUGGAUCAAGUAAUAUGGCAUUAACUUCAAUGAAGUAGCAAGGCAGUAAUCCAACCCCAGCCAGAAAAUGGGGAAGGAAGCUGUGAUUGGCAUGCAUGUGGGUUCCAUUGGGAAUUCAAGCCUUGCUACUGGAGAUAAUGCAGCUUAUGCUUCUUUUUAUUAUUGUUCUCUGGUGUCAGUUUUUUCUAACACAAUGAGUCUAUAACACAAUGAACUUCAAUGACAGGCCAAGUGUUGGAAGUUGUCCUUGCCAAGCCUCAGGCUGAUAAAAAACCUGAAGGGCUUCAUCCUUACACGGCUGGGCUUCAUCCGAACCAGGUGACACAUCCUUCAUAUGGUGGGUUUGCCGGAAGUCCAUAUGGCUCUUUAAGUGCUGGAUUUGGUGUUACCGCCAGUUUUCAGCAGGUAUUUUAUGGACUUAAAUUAGUUUUUCUGACCUUUUACAUAGUUCCGUUAUGGUCAAACUUCAUCUUUUAAACUUCCUUGCAUGAACAGCCAGUUAUAUAUGGAAGGGGUCCAAUGCCAGCAGGGAUGCAUAUGGUGCCAAUGGUUCUACCAGAUGGUCGAAUUGGUUAUGUUCUUCAGCAGCCUGGAGUACAGAUGCCACAACCGCGGCCUAGGAGAGUCGAUCGUAGCAAUGGUCCAAGUGGGCCUGCGCGAGCUGGAAGCAGUGGGGAUGAUGGCAAUCGUAGCAGAAGGUAUCGCCCCUAUUAGUGUUAGAGGUGUAGAGAUGUGCCAUAGUUUUUGUUAGGGAAUGAAGAGAUUGUAGUUGGGGAACUUGUUGUCGUGAACAAAAUAACAGAGCCUUCACCCCCUUUUUUCUCCCCCAUCCCAAAACACUCAAAACUUUAAAAAGGAAAAAAGAAUGAAAAGAGGAAGAAAACAGGAUGUUAGAAUUAGGAAUAUGAAGCAUUUUGUGACUUUGAUGUGGUAGGAGACGAUUGACAGUUAGUAAUUAUCCUAUAUUAUUGUUUUAUUUAUUGGCAUUGUCUUGUAAUCUUGUUGCACUCGGCAGGAAUCGUUUUAUAGUUGUGCAAGCCAUGGUUCCGUAUCCAAAAUUUGACAUCAAAAUGCACAUGGUAAUCCUUAUUUCCAUCUAAAAGAAUUGCAAAAGAUGGCCUUCUUAAUAUCGGCUAUAAAAGAGAGUUUUUUUCUGUAACUGCCAGAGAUCUACGAGAGAGUAGAGUCUCGUUAAAGAGAGAUGAAAUUUUAUGCCUUGGGAAGAAGACCCGUAAUGGACAAGAGGGUACAAGGACCUCAGCAAGAAUCCACGACAGAUGUCUUUGUGAUAAGCCAUGGGCGAAGCUGAAAAAUAGUUGUGCUUCUGCUGUUCAAGGAUUCAAUUCAAUGAGUUGUGAUAAACUGUUGUUUAAGGUCGUAAUUUUUUUUUCGAAGGCCGUUAACCGUUAGGAAAGGAUACGAGCAUGGAAAAUUAUCAAGUUAUCCCUUCUUCUGAGAUACAGC